CCUACGGGAGGCAGCAGUGGGGAAUCUUGCGCAAUGGGCGAAAGCCUGACGCAGCAACGCCGCGUGGGGGAUGAAGGCUUUCGGGUUGUAAACCCCUUUCAGCAGGGACGAAUCAAGACGGUACCUGCAGAAGAAGCCCCGGCUAACUACGUGCCAGCAGCCGCGGUAACACGUAGGGGGCAAGCGUUGUCCGGAUUUAUUGGGCGUAAAGAGCUCGUAGGUGGCUGAGUAAGUCGGGUGUCAAAUCUUCAGGCUCAACCUGGAGCUCCACCCGAUACUGCUCUGGCUAGAGUCCGGUAGGGGAGCGUGGAAUUCCUGGUGUAGCGGUGAAAUGCGCAGAUAUCAGGAGGAACACCAGCGGCGAAGGCGGCGCUCUGGGCCGGUACUGACACUGAGGAGCGAAAGCGUGGGUAGCAAACAGGAUUAGAUACCCUGGUAGUCCACGCCGUAAACGUUGGGCACUAGGUGUGGGGGUCUAUUCAACGGACUCCGUGCCGUCGCUAACGCAUUAAGUGCCCGCCUGGGGAGUACGGCCGCAAGGCUAAAACUCAAAGGAAUUGACGG
rnacentral:rRNA from 1 species